UGGGGCUAGGGUGGCCACUGGCUUCACCCUAGAAAGCCGGACCUCACCGGCCACACCCUAAACCACGCCCUCAAACUUCAUAAAUCCACGCCCCACCGCCGGCCAAAAAAACACAGGGGAGGAGAGGGAAGAACUUUGUGAAUGGAAGGUUCCUACAAUAUAGGAUCCGCUCAGUGGAUAUCUUCUAUAUAAGAUCCUUCUCCUGAUUGACCCGUCAAGGAUGGAUAGGGACAGGGAAAAGAUGGCGGAGAAUAUAAUAAAUCUCACCCUAGAGAUCCUCUUCCGGAUUACUGGAGAGGAAUACACAGUAGUGAAGAAGACCUCUAGUGAGCGCUGUCAGGACCCUGUGUCUGAA